rnacentral:rRNA from 1 species
GACGAACGCUGGCGGCGUGCCUAAUACAUGCAAGUCGAGCGGACUUGAAGGAGUGCUUGCACUCUUGCGAGUUAGCGGCGGACGGGUGAGUCACACGUAGGCCACCUGUCCUCAAGACUGGGAUCACUACCGGAAACGGUAGCUAAUACCGGAUAAUUUAUUACAUAGCAUUACGUUAUUAUGAAAGACGGAGCAAUCUGCUACUUGGGGAUGGGCCUGCGGCGCAUUAGCUAGUUGGUGGGGUAACGGCCCACCAAGGCGACGAUGCGUAGCCGACCUGAGAGGGUGAACGGCCACACUGGGACUGAGACACGGCCCAGACUCCUACGGGAGGCAGCAGUAGGGAAUCUUCCGCAAUGGGCGAAAGCCUGACGGAGCAACGCCGCGUGAGUGAUGAAGGUUUUCGGAUCGUAAAGCUCUGUUGCCAAGGAAGAACGUCUCAUAGAGUAACUGCUAUGAGAGUGACGGUACUUGAGAAGAAAGCCCCGGCUAACUACGUG